CUUUACAAAAAUAAAAUCUUUCACGGGCAUUUUAUGCUCAAUCUUCCUGUCACAUAGAUAAGUAAACCUGUUUUUACAAAUAGCGCCACGGAUUCGACCAAUUCUAAGGGAGAAAAAGGGAGAAUUAAGGUUGGAUUUAAGCACUUCUGAGAUAUGAUUUGUUGGAAGCGUUCCCAUUGUGACGUGUAGCAGGUUGUUCCAAAUCCCUGCUGCUGUAUUGAUUGCUGCAGAUUGGUUGGGAUUUUGCAUUUAGGACAAAUAAAGCUGCGUUCAUAGCCUGAAAACAGUUGCCAAUACAGUCGCAGAACCAACAAUGAAAUCUGCCUUCUCUAUCUAGCAUGCAGUAAUAGGGUUUACCACCUGGCAUUGAUUUAAUUUCAGAGGUGUUAAUUGUUUGAGAGGAAGGGAGGGGAGAAAGCUGAGUGCUGCCUACAUGUGGAUCUGCAGUAAUUGCAGCAGCUGAGAGCAAGCCCAUGAAGGAGAAGCAAAUGUGAACAGUGCUGAACUGUACCCCAGUGAGAGAUCUCGGGUAGGGAGUUUUCAGGAAACAGGUAAGGCCAGACUACAUUCCAAGCUUGAAGCAUCCCUAAUGGGCAAAUGUUGCACAGCUUAGCAUCAUUUGACAGUAGAUAGGAUAAGGAUGGAGUUAUCCAGGCCAGCUGCUGCCCUGAAAUACUCAUUGACACUUGGAAGGAGUAAUGACAGGAAGAGCUGAGGAAUGCAUCCCAAAAGCUCUUGGAGCCUGGAGGAUGGAUGCAGCACAGCCACAGUGAUCAGGGAUUUCACAGCCUCCCCUGAGAGCAUGGCAGUGUCACGUCUGCUGCAGUGGCAUUGCUCUGCAUGGAACUACCAGUCUAUUUUUCACUUGAGCAAGCAGGCACAAAGGAAUGCCAUCUGACAUCAUUUAUCUGGGCUUUCAAAAUGUCUUCAGCCAAAUCCCAGAACACAGAGUAGGAAUAAAUGGCCAUUUGACUAUGGCAAAAGGUUAACUGUAGGGUGUCCAGAGACUUCCACCUGGGGACUCUUGCUGUCUGGCAUGCUAAUUAACCAUAUGGGGAAGGGAAUGAUUGCUGAUGUGGUAUAUUUGCAGAUGAUAGAGUUAUUUAGAUCAGCCAAAGCUGCAAUUCUCUGCUCUAAAGGGACACUAAUGAAGCAAGGUGAUCAACAAGAUGACGGCAAAUAAAAGCCAGCACUGUGAAAUACAACUUAUGUAGGACAGAAUAAUUUGGAAAACCCACGUGUCUGGAACUAAUGGCUUAGACGUGAAUCAGAGCUGCAGCGUGGAAGGACUGCUGAGGCCUCCCCAGCCUCUUUGCAUCCCUGCACCGCUCAGCUGGGGCUCUGGAUAAGGCUGGCAUCUGCAAGGAUGGUGAGUUUUGGGGUGCCCACCCUCAAGUGUGAUCGGCAGCUUCUGGAUUGCUGCUUCUGGCUGUUCAUCCUUUAAUCACUGACCUCAUCAAGGGGAACUGGCAGGGGGAAUUUGCUCCUGCAUAACGUUUGUGUGCUGGUAGAAGCUUUCUUUGCUUUAUCCUUGGGCAUGAACAGUACCUGGCAGUUUCAGAAGAAUGGGCACAGUUCUCCCUGGAUCACAGCCCUUUCUCCUGCACACUACAGCCAUUUGAAUGGAUGUUACCCUCCCGCCCAGCCCAGGUUGGAUACUGGGAAAAACCUCUCCCACAGAGCAGUUGAGCACUGGGACAGCUGCCCAGCAGUGGUGGGGUAUCCCUGGAGGUGCUCCAGAGCCAGGGAGAUGUGGCUCUGAGGGAUGUGGGCAGUGGGUGUGUGGGGUGGCUGGGGUUGGGCUUGGGGAUCUUGGAGGUCUUUUCUCAUAGGAAUGGUUCUAUGCAACAGAUGCACGUGGCUGGGAGGCAGCUCACCCGAGCACAUGGCAUACAGCACAGUUGCCCCCAGCCACGCUCCUGGCCUGGCAUCCCUGCAGCUCCUCCACUGCUCCUUUGCCAGCUGAUGAGAUUCAGGCUUGUGCCUUGGGAGUAAAUGAUAAGUGGCUUGGUUAGAAUUAAGGAAUUAAUUUGAGUGGUUUUUAAAUUGUGUAGGAGUUCUGUGGCGGGUUUAAAGGUGAUCAGGCAGCAGGCGAUGAACUGAAUAUUGAUUUUUCUCCAUGACAAGAACUAUCUUUUGUACUUGGGCCGUCAAAUAAACAAAACCAACAAUACGAAUUAGAGGGGCAUGUCCAAUAAAUCCCCUGUAUAUAAAAUGGAAGGAUUCUACGGGGCAGAUUAAUUAUGGAUGGCAAUUAAUUCGAGCUGCGAACAGCUCAAAUCAUGAAUAUUUUAGUGGAAGUCCACCUACAGCCCCAGCCCUGGAAAUUACAUCUCGCGUUCCGGCGCUUGCUUUUAUUCUGAAAACAUUGCUUCCAUUUGUGAAUGGAAGCAACAACUCAUAAACACUGCCAUAAUCAUGCAGCACCACAUGCUUUCUUGAUUUCUACAUGCUGGAUGAGUCAUCCCCGUUAUUUUGUAUUACGAUGUUAUCAGAAUGGAUCUCAUGAUUACAAUGCAUGUAAAGCUUAGCAAGGAAAUACUAUAUAAAUUUUUAAUAUAAUUUUCUAUUCAGUGCUCAUGUUUUGUAGCGCGCAGAGGCAAAUUAUUUUAACUAGUUUAUGCCAGAGUGCACAGUUGCUGUUUGAGUUGCUUUAUCUCCAUCAUUUGAAACUCAACGUGAUGAGAAAAUACUU